CCUACGGGAGGCAGCAGUGAGGAAUAUUGGUCAAUGGGCGCGAGCCUGAACCAGCCACGUAGCGUGAAGGAUGACUGCCCUCCGGGUUGUAAACUUCUUUUAUAAAGGAAUAAAGUGAGGCACGUGUCCCUUUUUGUAUGUACUUUAUGAAUAAGGAUCGGCUAACUCAGUGCCAGCCGCCGCGGUAAUCCGGAGGAUCCGAGCGUUAUCCGGAUUUAUUGGGUUUAAAGGGAGCGUAGAUGGGUUGGUAAGUCAGUUGUGAAAGUUUGCGGCUCAACCGUAAAAUUGCAAUUGAUACUGGCAGUCUUGAGUACAGUGGAGGUAGGCGGAAUUCGUGGUGUAGCGGUGAAAUGCUUAGAUAUCACGAAGAACUCCGAUUGCGAAGGCAGCUUACUAAACGGCCACUGACAUUGAUGCGCGAAAGUGUGGGUAGCAAACAGGAUUAGAUACCCCGGUAGUC
rnacentral:rRNA from 1 species